rnacentral:lncRNA from 1 species
UCGGCUUCUAAGAUCUCGGUUCACUCCUCACCUGUGGUCCACUCGGGUUUUCAGCUAGGCCCUUCUUCGGAGGGGCGAGUCUUAAGGAAACCAGGCAACAACGGGUCACAGCGGAAACGCCCUUCUUCCUGGAAAAGAAAAUCCCUUGGUCAGAGGAGCGUGGAAGCUGGCUUAGCUUCGGUGGAGGUUCAGGAUCACGUUACAGACCGGAUAGGAAGCUCCAAGAGGAAAUCUUCCUUUGC